rnacentral:rRNA from 1 species
UACGUAGGGGGCAAGCGUUGUCCGGAUUUAUUGGGCGUAAAGAGCGUGUAGGCGGCUAGAUAGGUCCGUUGUGAAAACUCGAGGCUCAACCUCGAGACGUCGAUGGAAACCAUCUGGCUAGAGUCCGGAAGAGGAGAGUGGAAUUCCUGGUGUAGCGGUGAAAUGCGCAGAUAUCAGGAAGAACACCGAUGGCGAAGGCAGUUCUCUGGGACGGUACUGACGCUGAGACGCGAAAGCGUGGGUAGCAAACAGG